GAUAAACGCUGGCGGCGUACAUAAGACAUGCAAGUCGAACGAACAGAAGCUAUUCGAAAGAAUAGAAGAAGUUAGUGGCGGACUGGUGAGUAACGCGUGAGCAACCUGCCUAUUAGAGGGGAAUAACAGUGAGAAAUCAUUGCUAAAACCGCAUAUGCUCAAAGUAUCGCAUGAUACAAAGAGGAAAAGAGAAAUCUGCUAAUAGAUGGGCUCGCGUCUGAUUAGCUAGUUGGUGAGAUAAAAGCUUACCAAGGCGACGAUCAGUAGCCGGACUGAGAGGUUGAACGGCCACAUUGGGACUGAGAUACGGCCCAGACUCC
rnacentral:rRNA from 1 species